rnacentral:rRNA from 1 species
CAAGUCCUACGGAGGCAGCAGUGGGGGAUAUUGCACAAUGGGGGGAACCCUGAUGCAGCGACGCCGCGUGGGUGAAGAAGCGCCUCGGCGCGUAAAGCCCCGUCAGCAGGGAAGAAAAUGACGGUACCUGAAGAAGAAGCCCCGGCUAACUACGUGCCAGCAGCCGCGGUAAUACGGAGGAUGCGAGCGUUAUCCGGAUUUAUUGGGUUUAAAGGGUGCGUAGGCGGAAUGCCAAGUCAGCGGUAAAAUCGUGGGGCUCAACCUCGCUCCGCCGUUGAAACUGGCGUUCUUGAGUGGGCGAGAAG